rnacentral:miRNA from 1 species
CCUCUGUUGGCCCCCAAAUUUGGUCUUUGCACCAGUGUGGGGGGGUGAGGUUCUUUGCCUCACCUCUGGUGCAAAGGCCAAAUUUGGGGGCCAACAGAGG